UACGAAGGGUGCAAACGUUGCUCGGAAUUAUUGGGCGUAAAGCGCACGUAGGCGGCUACGCAAGUCGGAUGUGAAAUCCCUCGGCUCAACCAAGGAAGUGCACCCGAAACUGCGCAGCUUGAGUGCCAAAGAGGAUCGCGGAAUUCCCGGUGUAGAGGUGAAAUGCGUAGAUAUCUGGAGGAACACCGGUGGCGAAGGCGGCAUCCUGGACCAACACUGACACUGAGGAGCGAAAGCCAGGGGAGCAAACGGG
rnacentral:rRNA from 1 species